AGGCAAGCUUUGGGUUCAGAUUAGCCUCCUCCGAUAGCCUGCCAUGCCUAAGGUUCUAGAAACCUUUUGAUCUUGUGCGGCAUCGGAAGCACGGAUGGUGGUAACCCCUUUGAUUGCUUAGACCUUUUGAGUUUGAGGUCCUACUGUAGUGUUGUAAUGCUUAUAAUCAGUCUUAGAGUUUAUCUCAAGGGAUAUACUAUAUUGAGUUGUGUGUUCCUAUGUAGUAAUUUAUUAUUUGCUAAGAUCUUAUUCAAUAAGUUGUUCUGAAUGCUUGUUGCUCCUGUUGUUUGCAUGAUUAUGCUUUAAUUAAUUCAAACCAAGAUGUGAUAGUACCUUGUUACAACUUUUCUAUGUACAAAUACUCAUUCUUUACCCCUCCUCUUUCCUUUGCAUGACAUGGGGAAUUCUCAAAUCCCCAAAUGCUACUGCCCUUGGAGUAUUUUAUUGCUGCACUUGAAUGCCAUUACCUUGAUGAAGCUGCUGCAUUGUUGAGCUGGUCUCUGUUGCAUUUGUGGCCAACUUGUGACUUCAUAUGAAUGCAAGUUUGCUGCUGUUCUGCCUAAUAGAAAUAACUGCUAUGCUUGAUGGGUUGCUAAUAUUGUUGAGAGGUUGUACCUUGAGCAGUGCUGCACUGUUUGAUUGAGCUGCUAUUCUUUCCUGGAAAACAGUCUGCUCACUUUUCUGUUGGUUGCUACUUGAUAUGGGCUGCUGUUCUAUUUUGAGAAGGGUACAAAUAAAGAAAAUCUGUGGAGCAAAGGCUUAUAAAGACGAAGCAAGAGAAGUGGAUAUUUGGAGCUUGGAGCUUUGGAUGAGGAAUCAGCAAACGCGGAAUAAUCGUGAUUAGAGGUCCAAGAACGCGAGGAGAUAGUAUUAGCUAUUCUAAUCUUUCUCCACCUCCCCCCUCUCUCCCUCUCUUUAUUGGUCUUUUGUAAUUUGUAUACAUAUGUGACUUGUAAAUGCUUGUGUAUUAUUGAAACCCAUAGUUAGAACUUAGCUGAAACAAUUUUCAAA